rnacentral:rRNA from 1 species
AUCUCUUAAAGCUGUUCUCAGUUCGGACUGCAGUCUGCAACUCGACUGCACGAAGCUGGAAUCGCUAGUAAUCGCGGAUCAGCACGCCGCGGUGAAUACGUUCCCGGGCCUUGUACACACCGCCCGUCACACCAUGGAAGUCUGCAAUGCCCGAAGCCGGUGGCCUAACCACUUAUGUGGAAGGAGCCGUCUAAGGCAGGGCAGAUGACUGGGGUGAAGUCGUAACAAGGUAUC